rnacentral:lncRNA from 10 species
AGAACAGCAAGUGACAAGACUGAGGCAGGCAGAGUGGCCGAGCGGGGUAGAGGGGCUGGAGACAGCAGUCAUGUGGAUGUUUUGGCACAGUAAGGGCUUUGCAUCCAUUCUAAGUGUGGUGGAGUGGGAAUCAGUUUUCUGUCUCUCCAGGAGGAGAGUGGCUUGCAGGUAGUUAGUCCUCCUUGGUCAGUAGCCACCAAAACCUACCUCCCUCCGGUGGAGGCAGAGAUUACCCACUCCCAGGUCCCAAGACUAUGUGUUUGCCUCCCUUGGACCAGAAGAUGAAUUUCCUGCAAACCAACACUUGGAGACCUUCAAAGGUCCUGAUUUCUUCCAGCAGGGGUCUGAAGGAGCCUGAUUGUUGAAGCAAAACUUCCCGUUUACCUACUGAUUGGAGGGUUUUUGAGCAUCUGGAAGCCAGAACAAAAAUGACCAUCCAUCCUCCCGCUGACCUUCCAGAUGACUGCAGGUGCAUGAGCACGCCCAGCAGGGAUCAGCUGAGCAAAAUCACCUCGCCGAAUCAUAGGUACAUAGCCACUCUAAGCCACUAAAUUUUGAGCUUAUUAACUUACAGAAAAAACAGCCUGCUUGAUUCAUUUUUGCUAUCUUUGAAGUAGUGGACAUGUAGGGAUGACAAUGAAAUUCAUUUAUUAUUAUGAUUAUUAAACCUGGGAAUGCUGUCCAUUAGUAUCUUUUUAAAAAAUUUAGAUUCAGGGGUACAUGUGCUGGUUUGUUACAUAGAUAUGUUGUGUGAUGCUGCGUUUGAGCUUCUUUUGAACCCAUCACCCAAAGAAUGAACAAAGUACCCAAUAGGUAGUUUUCAACCUUAGCCCCUUCCCUUCCUUCCCCCUUUUGGAGUCCCCAGUGUCUAUUGUUUUCAUUUUUACAUCUAUGUGUACCCAUGUUUAGCUCUCACUUAUAAGUGAGAACAUGUGGUAUUUGGUUUUCUGUUUCUCUGUUCAUUCACUUAGAAUAUUGGCCUCCAACGGCAUCCAUGUUGCUG